UAGGGAAUCUUCGGCAAUGGGGGGAACCCUGACCGAGCAACGCCGCGUGAGUGAAGAAGGUUUUCGGAUCGUAAAGCUCUGUUGUUAAGGAAGAACGAGUGUGAGAAUGGAAAGUUCAUGCUGUGACGGUACUUAACCAGAAAGGGACGGCUAACUACGUGCCAGCAGCCGCGGUAAUACGUAGGUCCCGAGCGUUGUCCGGAUUUAUUGGGCGUAAAGCGAGCGCAGGCGGUUAGAAAAGUCUGAAGUGAAAGGCAGUGGCUCAACCAUUGUAGGCUUUGGAAACUGUUUAACUUGAGUGCAGAAGGGGAGAGUGGAAUUCCAUGUGUAGCGGUGGAAUGCGUAGAUAUAUGGAGGAACACCGGUGGCGAAAGCGGCUCUCUGGUCUGUAACUGACGCUGAGGCUCGAAAGCGUGGGGAGCGAACAGG
rnacentral:rRNA from 1 species